GACGAACGCUGGCGGCGUGCUUAACACAUGCAAGUCGAACGGAAAGGCCCUGCUUUUGUGGGGUGCUCGAGUGGCGAACGGGUGAGUAACACGUGAGUAACCUGCCCUUGACUUUGGGAUAACUUCAGGAAACUGGGGCUAAUACCGGAUAGGAGCUCCUGCUGCAUGGUGGGGGUUGGAAAGUUUCGGCGGUUGGGGAUGGACUCGCGGCUUAUCAGCUUGUUGGUGGGGUAGUGGCUUACCAAGGCUUUGACGGGUAGCCGGCCUGAGAGGGUGACCGGCCACAUUGGGACUGAGAUACGGCCCAGACUCCUACGGGAGGCAGCAGUGGGGAAUAUUGCACAAUGGGCGGAAGCCUGAUGUAGCAACGCCGCGUGCGGGAUGACGGCCUUCGGGUUGUAAACCGCUUUCGCCUGUGACGAGGCGUGAGUGACGGUAAUGGGUAAAGAAGCACCGGCUAACUACGUGCCAGCAGCCGCGGUGAUACGUAGGGUGCGAGCGUUGUCCGGAUUUAUUGGGCGUAAAGGGCUCGUAGGUGGUUGAUCGCGUCGGAAGUGUAAUCUUGGGGCUUAACCCUGAGCGUGCUUUCGAUACGGGUUGACUUGAGGAAGGUAGGGGAGAAUGGAAUUCCUGGUGGAGCGGUGGAAUGCGCAGAUAUCAGGAGGAACACCAGUGGCGAAGGCGGUUCUCUGGGCCUUUCCUGACGCUGAGGAGCGAAAGCGUGGGGAGCGAACAGGCUUAGAUACCCUGGUAGUCCACGCUGUAAACGGUGGGUACUAGGUGUGGGGUCCAUUCCACGGGUUCCGUGCCGUAGCUAACGCUUUAAGUACCCCGCCUGGGGAGUACGGCCGCAAGGCUAAAACUCAAAGGAAUUGACGGGGCCCCGCACAAGCGGUGGAGCAUGCGGAUUAAUUCGAUGCAACGCGUAGAACCUUACCUGGGUUUGACAUGGAUCGGGAGCGCUCAGAGAUGGGUGUGCCUCUUUUGGGGUCGGUUCACAGGUGGUGCAUGGCUGUCGUCAGCUCGUGUCGUGAGAUGUUGGGUUAAGUCCCGCAACGAGCGCAACCCUUGUUCACUGUUGCCAGCACGUUAUGGUGGGGACUCAGUGGAGACCGCCGGGGUCAACCCGGAGGAAGGUGGGGAUGACGUCAAGUCAUCAUGCCCCUUAUGUCCAGGGCUUCACGCAUGCUACAAUGGCUGGUACAGAGAGUGGCGAGCCUGUGAGGGUGAGCGAAUCUCGGAAAGCCGGUCUCAGUUCGGAUUGGGGUCUGCAACUCGACCUCAUGAAGUCGGAGUCGCUAGUAAUCGCAGAUCAGCAACGCUGCGGUGAAUACGUUCCCGGG
rnacentral:rRNA from 1 species